UACGUAGGUGGCAAGCGUUGUCCGGAUUUAUUGGGUUUAAAGGGUGCGUAGGCGGCCUUAUAAGUCAGUGCUGAAAUAUCCCGGCUUAACCGGGAGGGUGGCAUUGAUACUGUAGGGCUUGAGUGUAGUAGAGGUAGGCGGAAUUGACGGUGUAGCGGUGAAAUGCUUAGAUAUCGUCAAGAACACCGAUAGUGUAGACAGCUUACUAGGCUACAACUGACGCUGAGGCACGAAAGUGUGGGGAUCAAACAGG
rnacentral:rRNA from 1 species